rnacentral:rRNA from 1 species
GGCGAACGGGUGAGGAAUACAUGGGUAACCUACCCUCGAGUGGGGAAUAACUAGCCGAAAGGUUAGCUAAUACCGCGUACGCUCCUGGGACUUCGGUUCAGGGAGGAAAGCGAUACCGUGGGUAUCGCGCUCUUGGAUGGGCUCAUGUCCUAUCAGCUUGUUGGUGAGGUAACGGCUCACCAAGGCUUCGACGGGUAGCUGGUCUGAGAGGACGAUCAGCCACACUGGCACUGCGACACGGGCCAGACUCCUACGGGAGGCAGCAGUAAGGAAUAUUGCGCAAUGGGCGAAAGCCUGACGCAGCGACGCCGCGUGGGGGAUGAAGGUCUUCGGAUUGUAAACCCCUUUCGGGAGGGAAGAUGGAACGAGCAAUCGUUCGGACGGUACCUCCAGAAGCAGCCACGGCUAACUUCGUGCCAGCAGCCGCGGUAAUACGAAGGUGGCAAGCGUUGUUCGGAUUUACUGGGCGUACAGGGAGCGUAGGCGGUUCGGUAAGCCCUUUGUGAAAUCUCCAGGCUUAACCUGGAACAGUCGGAGGGGACUGCUGGGCUAGAGGACGGGAGAGGAGCGCGGAAUUCCCGGUGUAGCGGUGAAAUGCGUAGAGAUCGGGAGGAAGGCCGGUGGCGAAGGCGGCGCUCUGGAACGUUUCUGACGCUGAGGCUCGAAAGCGUGGGGAGCAAACAGGAUUAGAUACCCUGGUAGUCCACGCCUUAAACUAUGAAUACUAAGUGUCGGCGGGUUACCGCCGGUGCCGCAGCUAACGCAUUAAGUAUUCCGCCUGGGAAGUACGGCCGCAAGG